UACGAAGGGUGCUAGCGUUGUUCGGAAUCACUGGGCGUAAAGCGCGCGUAGGCGGCUUAUCAAGUCAGGGGUGAAAUCCCGGGGCUCAACCCCGGAAUUGCCUUUGAAACUGGUAAGCUAGAGUACUGGAGGGGAUAGCGGAAUUCCUAAUGUAGAGGUGAAAUUCGUAGAUAUUAGGAGGAACACCGGUGGCGAAGGCGGCUAUCUGGACAGUAACUGACGCUCUGGCGCGAAAGUGCGGAGAUCAAACAGG
rnacentral:rRNA from 1 species